rnacentral:tRNA from 1 species
GGCUCCGUAGCUCAAUUGGAUAGAGCAUCGGCCUUCGAAGCCGAGGGUUGCAGGUUCAAGUCCUGCCGGGGUCGCCA